rnacentral:misc_RNA from 1 species
UCCCACAACCCUCCUGGC